GGCACAGAGAGCAGUGUUUCACCCACAUCUUAUUAAAGUUACCUUUGAUUUCUCCUGCUCGGGCCUUUUUGUACAAGCCUUUAACAUCUCGACUUUCACAAAUAUUCAACGGGGCAUCCACAAAGAUCUCAAAGAAUUGCAACCCCGCAGCUUCAUGAAUUUUCCUGGCUUCAUUACGAUCCUAUUAAGAAAAAAACAGAAGUGCUAAUGAUGUUUAAAGAUGCCCGUGUGACACACAGAUGCCCAUGUGACACACACAAAUGCCAAGCUAAAUGCGUUACCUUUGUAUACGGAGAGAUGAAACUUGUAAUGCAAACCAGACCAGCGUCUGCAAAGAGCUUUGCAACUUCUGCUAUACGACGGAUGUUCUCCUCUCUGUCCUCAGAAGAAAAACCCAAGUUUCUGUUUAGGCCAUGGCGAAUAUUGUCUCCAUCAAGAUAGUUGCCAGAAGAAAUGCACAUGCGCAGAUUGUCUAACCCCCCCCCACGCAGGAGCGUGCAACAGCUACUACGUAUAGAGCGGGCGGGAGAGCUUUAUACAUCGCUACUCUGCAGAAAAGAAAACUUAAGGGGCAGAGAGGUUUAUUCUGACAAAAAAAAAUAUAUAGCGGUUUUCCAUUGGGAUAGGAUAAUGAAAUCUAUUUGCAUAUUGUAGAAAUCCUUUAUUUUACAAAUCACUUUAAGUUCGUCCAGCCAUAAUAUUCCAGUAGGAGUAAAUGUCUUUGACAAAGCGCCAGAAGGGCGUGAAACGCGUCAGAUGACGUCACACUCCACACACCUGUGUCUCCUGGUAGUCACACCGCUAUUGUAUGCUGAGUGUUUGUCCGACAUGCCAAAUAAAGGUAUGAUUGAAUCACUUUA